UGAUGCUAAAAUAAACCAAUGUCAAAUAAACCUUUGGUUCUCUUAGAAAGGGUCAUUGUGCCUUCCCCGAGAUGUUCCCUUCACAGGCACAUUUGUUUGAUAGAGGGUGAAUUGGGUGAUAACUUAGACGUUUUCUGUGACACAGACCUUUUAUUGAGGUGAAGAGGGAGCUAUGUAGUUGGCCUGAGGUACAUUUUCCAACUCUUCUUGUGGUUUUUCUUGCCUUUAUACACAAUCAGAGAACAGGGAUGAAUUCUUACAAACACGAGAUUAAGAGAGAGAGAGAGAGAGAGAGAGAAUGAAUGAAUGAAUGAGAAAGAAUGAACCCAAUUGACUUUCAGACAGUAGCAUCUAAUACCCCCAGGUAACCUCUGCCUCAGAGGUUACUACAGGUCAUUGUAGACAUUCUAACUGAAAACAGGAAACAGGUCCUCUUGGGUUACUUAAACUUGGUCAACUUCUUCAACCUAGUGUUAGAUUACAAUUUAUAGUAAAGAGCUCUGUCCUACUUAAUGCAGAAUUGUUAAAGUUUUUUGAAAACUUAGUAAGGCAACUCUUUUAAGGCCAGUGUAACCCAACUUUGACCCAGACAUGUUACACGUGAUCGUUGAGUUUAGAUUGUUUACUUCUAGGAAACCACCAGUAGUGGUAGACAGCUGGACCAUGUGGUUUCCUCUCAAACAGAAAAUGUUUUCUCCUCUGGACUUGACUGUAAUACUUUUCUGAAGGAUGAGCCAAACUGGGAACCAGUGUUUCAUAUUUAUUGCUGAUAUGCAAGAGACCUAAAUCUUAUAGUGGCAUGUCAAAAAAAGGAAAAAGAAAAACAACUAAUUCUAAAUAUGGCAAACUUUGGUCUAAGUUCUAAUGUUUUUUCAUUACCCUUUGGCUUGGAAAUUUGCCAUGCACAUGAAAAAUGUGAGUGAGAAAACUCUGAGUAAUGAUGAAUAAACAAUAUACCUUAAGAGUUUUUAACAUGUCAUAUUUUUGUUUGUUUACCCAAGGACUGAUAGAAACAUAUUUUGAAAUACUAUUCAUUUGCAUUUGAAAUCUCUGUUUUGCCUUGUUAUGGAGCUUUAAAGAGUGAGAUAAAUGUUUAAUUUUGUUUCUGAAGUUACUGGUAUAUUGGAAUUCUUGGUGUUCCUAAAAAUGUCUUGCAAAAUAUUCAAGUGCUUGCA